AGCGCAACCCUUGUCUUUAGUUACCAUCAUUCAGUUGGGGACUCUAGAGAGACUGCCGGUGAUAAACCGGAGGAAGGUGGGGAUGACGUCAAAUCAUCAUGCCCCUUAUGGCCUGGGCUACAAACGUAAUACAAUGGCGUAUACAAAGGGAUGCGAAGUGGUGACAUGGAGCUAAACUCACAAAGUACGUCUCAGUUCGGAUUGAAGUCUGCAACUCGACUUCAUGAAGCUGGAAUCGCUAGUAAUCGCGGAUCAGCAUGCCGCGGUGAAUACGUUCUCGGGGUUU
rnacentral:rRNA from 1 species